CACACACACACACACACACGUGGCCCUUUCUUGUAUACAGAAGCUAUAAAAUGUGUGUAGAUUUCUAGCCCUGAAAUACUAAAGUUCUAUAAUUCUGUACUUAACUCUUUAAUAAUCUUGACAUUUUAUCUACCAUAUGAACUACGGUACAAACACCAUUAAGGGCAGGACUUGGCUUUCCAGGCCUGAAUGCAGGUAUUUAAAAUAAUUGAAUUACAAGAAGGUAGCUCAUAGAUCUUUUCCAUUGCAGCAUAACUGUCUUGAAUCUGAAAACACAUUGUCUGUCUUAACUCUGCAGUAGCUGACACACCCUCCUCCUCACAAGUCACUGUAGUAGUAAGAUUAAAUAUUAUAAUGAUGGUUUAGCAAAUCGGAUGGGGACUCAUCAGCUAUUUUCAUAUCAAGAACUGAGGUUGAAAUAUGCAUCCUUUAUUUGUUUUUCAUUGAGUGAUUACAGAUGGCACCUAAUAAAGUCUUCAUGCUGUGAUAUCUUGAAGCCAUUGAUUUAUGUUUGUGACUGAUGAGGAUCCUUUCUGAGAGGUAAACACCAGCAUUAUUGAGGAGUGAAGUUUAGGCUUGAUAUUUUUCAAUAAAGUAUAUUCCUCAUUAUACUUUAUCCUCCAAAAUAAAAUGACAAAAAUAAAACUUUGGACUUUUCUUUGGAUACAUAUUAGCCAAAACCAUCAUGCCCCUGGUAAAUAUAAAUUGAUUCUGAGUUUUUAGAAAAUAAAUCACGAAUUGUACAAAAACAUUGAGAGUCAGAAGAUGUUAGAAUACUGGAUGUGGAGGUGAAUUGGUGUGCCUUUUCUUCCAUUUGAUUUGGACUAUGGUGUGACUGACUAUUUUAGCAUCUCUUCCUAAUUCUUUCCUUUGUUGAAAGUGUUGUAAAGGCCCACAUGCCAAGGCUAAUUGUGGGGCCAGAGCCAGGGAGACUGCUGGGCAGGUGGUUAUCUAGGCAGGGAUGGCAGUUGGGCAGAAGGCACAAGCAAUACAAGCUCUGGGAACAUCAGGUGGCUUCAGUCUAGAGACACAGAUCAGGUAACCCAGGGAAAGAUGGUGGAGUUGAGGAAUAAUGCUAAGAGUGAGGGCCACAGACCAGCAUCGACCAGAAGCCUCCACGGUGAAAUAUGGAUUCCAUGAGCUUGGACUCAGCAGCCAAGAAAAGUCUCAUUUAAUAGUCAUUGCGAUCUCAAUUUCACAGCCAUAUCGAUGGAGAAACAUCUGUGCUCAAGAGGAGAGAAUUCCACAACAGCUUACAGCCACACACUGGUCAUCCCUGUGAAAGAUGCAGCUGACCAGACAUGAUGUAGAAAGUCAGGCAGGCCCUCUGAACCCCAUGGGCGCCUCUGCCAAGUGGUGGCGAGCAUUCUGGAAAAAGUGGAAAGGCCAAUACAGAGAAGUGACGGGCCUGCAAAUGGUCCUGAUUUUUCUAACACCAAUUCAGGGGCAUCAUUGGGUCUUUUGACCCAAGAUCUUAAGUGGAUCCUCUGUGCAUUUCAUUACUUAGUUAAAUAGCAUGUCAUUCCGUAAGAAAGCAAACCUGAAUUGGUUUUGCCUAAACUACAUAGCCCAGGAAAUUGAGCAGAGGAUUGAAUGGCACAGUUCCUGAUCUCAGCAGGCUAUGGUUUCCCCUUUGUAUCUCCACUUUGUAUCUGACUGCAUUUUCUCUUUGCCCUAAACCAUCCAGCUAUUGCAGUGGCGAUGGGGGGGUGUCUGACAAAACUUUACUUUUCUUCCUUUUUUAUUAAAGUGUUUCAGAUGCUGCAGUCAUGAAUGAUUUUUGAAUGUUUAUUAUUUACCUAAUACAGGCAAGAAGAUAUAGUAGAAGAUAAAAAAUGAAUAGAAAAGAGAUAGUACUACCCAAAUGGAACUCUAUUAGGGAGGGGAAAAUAUGUGAAACAUCCAAAAUAUAUUUUUGACAUUUUUACAGAAUUAAAUAAUUAUAGAUUAUACGGUAUUCAUGAUCAAGAAGUGCUUUGGAAUUUUAUGCACCUAAUGAAUGUAUAGGUGGGGAAAGUUGAUCUAUAAAUGCACAUGUAUACUGUAAGGGAUAUGAAUCUUUACUUUCACUGAACCACCAGACCUUAAAAUUUUAUAGGAGCAGAGCAUCUCAAAGUCUUGAUGUCUGUAAUUUCAUAAAGUAUCAUUAACACAUUAAGUUUCAACUAAAUUGAAAUUAAUUGUUUCAUUUGGGGAGAUUAGCAUUUUUCUAUUUCAGUGGCAGAAUACUGAUGUUUCAAGGGAAUAUAUUUUGAGGAUAACAGUCAUAAUAUUAAUAGUUGUUGUUAUUAUAUUUAACACUCAUUGGGAGCUUCUUGUGUCUCAGGAAUCUUGUUAAGUCCUUUAGAUGUACUAUUUCAUUUAAUCCUAAGAACAACCCUGUGAGGAAGAUACUAUUAUUAUGUCCAUUGUACAGAUAAGGAAACCACCAACUUAGAGAUGAUUCAUAACGCUUCUAUGUUACUGAGCUGGUCGCUAGCAGCACUCAAGUGAUUGAACAUUCAACCCAGGCCCAGGUGACUUGCAACCCCGUGCUCGUAAGCUCUUAACUGGUCUCUCUCUCUCUCUCUCUCUCUGAAAAGGGCAAAAUCUAAAACAUGAUUAUCUGAGGGAGAUGGGGUAGCUAGAAAAGUAGGAUUCUAUGAAAUGUUAUUCUGCUGAAUUCUCAAGAACACAGUGUUUCUGGAAAGCUUAGUGGUUCUGUUGAGGUGAUGUUCAUUGAUAUUCUAAAUGUGUUACUUUGUUUUAUUUUUUUGUUGGUGGGGGAAGACUUUACUAGUUGGAAUUACUAAAAUCGCUUUAAUAAAGUGCUUGCAAAGACUCAAUCUGGUUAACAGUAAAGCCAUUUGUUUCAGUCAUGUCAGCAACUUUGGUUUUCAUAAGGGUUUUAAUGAAUCGGAGAGUGGAAUUUAAGAAAGCAAACAAUCCAAGGAAUACUCCUUAUUUUUCUAAAAUAGCAAAGCAAAAAUGGGAACCCUUUCCAGUUUAGUUACAGCAAGUAUCUAUUGGAGUUUUAGAAAUUCUUAGAGUACAUCAUUUAUCAUAUAGAACAAAACUUGAUUAAUGAACACUUUUUAAAAGUCUUUUUAGGGUCCUAUUAUUAUUUUAGUUGUUUAGAUAUAAAAAUAUUUUAUGACAUAUUCACUGUUAAAUUUAUAGUGAAUUGACAUUCAGUGACAUUUGUUUUUAAAGUUGUUUAUUGAAAUAUGUAGUCUACCAGAAAUAAGUACGGUUACCAACUACUGAAAUCAAUUUAAUAGUAAUUUGGUCUUGUUAGUCUGUUAAAAAGAAUUAUUGGCCUUCAGAUAUUUCCACAAAGCCCUUUGUUACUCAUGAAUCCCAUCAAGAUGCUAUGAAUAAAGACUGUGAAUAUCAA
rnacentral:lncRNA from 1 species